AGGGAAGGGGCGCGGCUCGGCCGGCUUUGGGGAUGUUGUCGAGCAGCUGUGUUGAACUUUAUUUAUUAAACAGCAGCGUCGCGGUUUUUCCUUUUUCUGCGCCUCCUAACAUCCUCACAACACUUGAGACGGCUGUUCAAUAUACGGGUCUCGGCAGAAAAUAAAAGCUAGAAAAGAAGAUACAGUAUUCUUCCUUCAAGACAGCACAGCUUUUACUGUCUACUGUACAACUCUGUUGACUAGCCAAGAUAAAUGAGGCAAGCAGGCCUAUAGAAUAUAUUUUGAAGUUUGUCCUGGAAGAUGAGCUUCAUCAAAUAGAUACAUAUUCUGUAGAAGAGAAAAUGCCUUUUGUUAGACAUCUGAACGAAGUCCAGAGGAUCAUCUCUACACAAUGACUCUCAGAUGCAAAGGAAAAUCUUCGACCUCUUCUUUUAGCACCUGUUAAAAGGUUUGGACUUCUGGGAUGUUCUUGACAUCAACCACAGCUUGGAGGGACAUCUGCCCUUUUACCACCAGCUAUUCAUGUUAAACCAGUGCAGUACCAACAGAGAGCUUCAGCUAAGAAGACACUGACAGCAGAGAACAGUGGAAGUCCUGUAACCACCAUCACACCCUCUGUCACCUGUGAGAAAUUAAAAAUUUAAAAAGGCUUUUCCAUUAAAACAAAUGCUCAUGAAUGUCACUGCUGCACCUUUGUGAUUUUAAAUUCAAGUUGUAAAGAGUCACAGAAUAAAGUUGUGUGUUUUACACAGUUGCCAUCA